GAACGCAAAUUGCACUCUCUGGUAUUCCGGAGAGUAUGCCUGUUUGAGGGUCAGUUAAAUAAAAAUCGGUGUUGCUGCUGCCUUGCGUGGUGACGCAUCGGAUUUGGGUCGUCUUACCUUCGGUUAAGUGACCUAAAAUUUUGCAUGAUUUUUCGAACGUAUUUAAAUUAUUUACGUACGUUUGCGAUAUCGAAUAUUAGGAGUGGUCAUUCUCAUGAUUCGCGCCUAUAAUUUCACAUCAAAAUGACCUCAAAUCAGGUAAGAGUACCCGCUGAACUUAAGC
rnacentral:misc_RNA from 1 species